rnacentral:rRNA from 1 species
GUGAGUCAUCGAGUCUUUGAACGCACCUUGCGCUCCUUGGUAUUCCUUGGAGCAUGCCUGUCUGAGAGUCUUGAAUAUCUCUGCUUUUGCCUUUCUUAACAAAAAGGUAACAAGUCAGGUCCUUGGGUCUGCUUGCGGUUUGUUACGUUACGAACACAAGCUUACCUUAAAUGAAUUAGCUGGACUUCAGCAGAGUUGUUAAGUAACAUUGAAAACUCUCGUAAUAUGAAGUCUGCUCUCUAAUCAUUCUCUUUCGAGAGAAUACUUUCUAUUUUGGCCUCAAAUCAGGUAGGACUACCCGCUGAACUUAA